rnacentral:rRNA from 1 species
CUAUCUUAGUGGCGGACGGGUGAGUAACGCGUGGGUAACCUGCCUUGCACUGGGGGAUAACACUUAGAAAUAGGUGCUAAUACCGCAUAACAGGAGAAGACGCAUGUCUUUUCCUUAAAAACUCCGGUGGUGUAAGAUGGACCCGCGUCUGAUUAGCUUGUUGGCGGGGUAACGGCCCACCAAGGCAACGAUCAGUAGCCGGCCUGAGAGGGUGAACGGCCACAUUGGGACUGAGACACGGCCCAAACUCCUACGGGAGGCAGCAG